GACGUAGGGCGCGAGCGUUGUCCGGAUUUAUUGGGCGUAAAGAGCUCGUAGGCGGCUUGUCGCGUCGACUGUGAAAACCCGAGGCUCAACUUCGGGCUUGCAGUCGAUACGGGCAGGCUAGAGUUCGGUAGGGGAGACUGGAAUUCCUGGUGUAGCGGUGAAAUGCGCAGAUAUCAGGAGGAACACCGAUGGCGAAGGCAGGUCUCUGGGCCGUAACUGACGCUGAGACGCGAAAGCGUGGGGAGCAAACAGG
rnacentral:rRNA from 1 species